rnacentral:rRNA from 1 species
GUGAGGAAUAUUGCGCAAUGGACGAAAGUCUGACGCAGCAACGCCGCGUGGGUGAAGAAGGCCUUCGGGUUGUAAAGCCCUUUUCUGAGGGAAGAGAGAGGACGGUACCUCAGGAAUAAGUCUCGGCUAACUACGUGCCAGCAGCCGCGGUAAAACGUAGGAGGCAAGCGUUAUCCGGAUUUAUUGGGCGUAAAGCGCAUGCAGGUGGUUUCGUAAGUCGGAUGUGAAAGCCUCUGGCUUAACUAGAGGAGGUCGUUCGAUACUGCGAAACUGGAGGUCGGAAGAGGGAGGCGGAAUUCCCGGUGUAGUGGUGGAAUGCGUAGAUAUCGGGAGGAACACCAGUGGCGAAGGCGGCUUCCUGGUCCGUACCUGACGCUAAGAUGCGAAAGCGUGGGGAGCGAACGGGAUUAGAUACCCCAGUAGUCC